rnacentral:rRNA from 1 species
UACGUAGGGCGCAAGCGUUGUCCGGAAUUAUUGGGCGUAAAGAGCUCGUAGGUGGCGUGUCGCGUCUGCCGUGAAAGCCCAUGGCUUAACUGUGGGUCUGCGGUGGAUACGGGCAGGCUGGAGGCUGGUAGGGGCAAGCGGAAUUCCUGGUGUAGCGGUGAAAUGCGCAGAUAUCAGGAGGAACACCGGUGGCGAAGGCGGCUUACUGGGCCAGUUCUGACGCUGAGGAGCGAAAGCGUGGGGAGCGAACAGG